GGAGUCGUAGUUCAGCUGGCUAGAACGUCCGCCUGUCACGCGGAAGGUCGCGGGUUCGAGCCCCGUCGAUUCCGCCA
rnacentral:tRNA from 1 species